CUUAAGCAGGAGGCUGCCAGCUCUUCGAUGCCAGAGUGUUUUUGUCCUCAGUGGCUAAGAAACCUAAACCCUGGAUUUAUGUCACUGAACACUGACUGUGUCCAGACGUUUUUCUGGAUGAUCAAGACUAUCUAAGUUCUGAGGACAUCGUUUCCUGUCUCUUGUUUUCGUCUGGACUCACAUCAAGCUGGCAGUUUCCUGCUUCCUCCGUCUCCUGGACCAAGUCAUAAGCGUACCCUGUCCACCCUCCAACAAGUAUCUGCACACCGAACUUACUCCAUAUUGCUCCAAGCUCACACACCACAGCACCUAAGAAAUCAUCUAACAAACUCAACCUCGACAACCUGGAUCCUGAAUCCCUCUACCCCUGGCGACCUGACCACACCUAUUUAUUGGAGAAUCAUCCUUUCACAUUCCUGAUUAUCAUUGACUCAAUAAACAUCAUUAACUUA